AAAAAAUAACUGAGUUGUUUGGUGGUGGAGCUACAACAGAGGGCAGCUAUCCACCGGUGUGUGACAGAAAGGACAUGCCGCGAACGAGACAUAAAAGGCGGUGAGGCUACCGCCGAUCGACCGGUGUUUGCUAACGCGGAGGUCAAUCGUGGAUCAGGGAAAGCGAAGGCAGGAGCGUGAGGUGAACUGAAUUUCAGGCGAUCCUGCUCAUCACGGCCUCGUCUGAGAUGACAGCUGAACAGCCGACACCGACAGAGGAGAUAACUUCUGUACACAGCACGAAGGUGAAAAGCCCAAAUGUUAAACAUCUGAAAAAAUGCCGCGUGACACAAGCAGGAUGUCGACAACACCACUCAAAAGCACAGCAGAGGUCACACACAAAGCCACAGCCCUACAGACCCAAAGCUCGUAGAGGGAGUCUGGCUCCAAUUUUGCUACAGUAAAGGAAUGAAGUGAAGGAGUGACCACAUCUAGUGGUGAGUCUCCUGCUUUGUUUCUUCUGAAGAAGAUGAAAUAAAAAGAAAAACAGAAACGAAGAUCUUUAAAGAAACUUUUCUUUGCUGUUUGGCAUUGCGUUACAUUUCAGUGCAAUGCAAAUCAUAUGCAGUACUAACUAUAAAAAUCACAAUAUUUCUCAGAUCAGUGGUAUAUAAGAAAUAUGUGUAUGACAUAAAAAGGUUAUUAAGGCACUACAUAAAUGAAUGUAUCUGAUACAAUUAUAAUUUGAUGUUUAUGUUUAUAAGUCAGUUUUUAAUAUGGCCUUAUUCAUUUUACUGGUUUUGAUGGAAUGAAGAACAAGUUUUCAGUCUUCUAUUGUUGUAACUUUGCACUGUAACUGCUAUUGUUUCAUGAAUUUCAGUUUCAAAUAAAGUCACCCAGAGUUAAAGCAUAAAAA
ensembl:lncRNA